GAUGAACGCUGGCGGCGUGCCUAAUACAUGCAAGUCGAGCGAACAGAUAAGGAGCUUGCUCCUUUGACGUUAGCGGCGGACGGGUGAGUAACACGUGGGUAACCUACCUAUAAGACUGGGAUAACUUCGGGAAACCGGAGCUAAUACCGGAUAACAUUUGGAACCGCAUGGUUCUAAAGUGAAAGAUGGUUUUGCUAUCACUUAUAGAUGGACCCGCGCCGUAUUAGCUAGUUGGUAAGGUAACGGCUUACCAAGGCGACGAUACGUAGCCGACCUGAGAGGGUGAUCGGCCACACUGGAACUGAGACACGGCCCAGACUCCUACGGGAGGCAGCAGUAGGGAAUCUUCCGCAAUGGGCGAAAGCCUGACGGAGCAACGCCGCGUGAGUGAUGAAGGGUUUCGGCUCGUAAAACUCUGUUAUUAGGGAAGAACAAAUGUGUAAGUAACUGUGCACGUCUUGACGGUACCUAAUCAGAAAGCCACGGCUAACUACGUG
rnacentral:rRNA from 1 species